rnacentral:rRNA from 1 species
AUACCACCCUUGCCUAUAUGGAUGUCUAACUGCGGCCCGUUAUCCGGGUCCAGGACCGUGUAUGGUGGGUAGUUUGACUGGGGCGGUCGCCUCCUAAAGAGUAACGGAGGCGCGCGAUGGUAGGCUCAGAACGGUCGGAAAUCGUUCGUCGAGUGCAAUGGCAUAAGCCUGCCUGACUGCAAGACUGACAAGUCGAGCAGAGACGAAAGUCGGUCAUAGUGAUCCGGUGGUCCCGCGUGGAGGGCCGUCGCUCAACGGAUAAAAGU